AUUGAACGCUGGCGGCAUGCUUUACACAUGCAAGUCGAACGGUAACAGGCCGCAAGGUGCUGACGAGUGGCGAACGGGUGAGUAAUGCAUCGGAACGUGCCCAGUCGUGGGGGAUAACCCAGCUAAAGCUGCGCUAAUACCGCAUACGAUCUAUGGAUGAAAGCGGGGGACCGUAAGGCCUCGACCGAUUUCAGCGCCCGAUUGAAGAUUAGGUAGUUGGUGGGGUAAAGGCUCACCAAGACAACGAUCUGUAGCUGGUCUGAGAGGACGAACAGACACACUGGGACUGAGACACGGCACAGACUCCUACGGGAGGCAGCAGUGGGGAAUUUUGGACAAUGGGCGCAAGCCUGAUCCAGCAAUGCCGCGUGCAGGAAGAAGGCCUUCGGGUUGUAAACUGCUUUUGUACGGAACGAAACGGUCCUGGUUAAUACCUGGGGCUAAUGACGGUACCGUAAGAAUAAGCACCGGCUAACUACGUGCCAGCAGCCGCCGCAGUAA
rnacentral:rRNA from 1 species